rnacentral:rRNA from 1 species
AUUGAACGCUGGCGGCAUGCUUUACACAUGCAAGUCGAACGAGUGGCGAACGGGUGAGUAAUAUAUCGGAACGUACCGAGUAAUGGGGGAUAACCAAUCGAAAGAUUGGCUAAUACCGCAUAUUAUUCUAUCGGCCGAUAACUGAUUCGCUAGUUGGUGGGGUAAAGGCCUACCAAGGCGACGAGAAGUAGCGGGUCUGUGGGGACGAUCAGCCACACGGGGAAUGCGACACGGCCCAGAGUCCGACGGGAGGCAGCAGUGGGGAAGUUUGGACAAUGGGGGCAACUCUGAUCCAGCCAGGCCGCGAGUAUGAAGAAGGCCUUCGGGUUGUAAAGUACUUUUGUUAGGGAAGCGGUACCUAAAGAAUAAGCACCGGCUAACUACGUGCCAGCAGCCGCGGUAAUUC